AGACUUUAGUCAUGUGCCCAUAGUGGCCAGGGGUUAUGAAGGGUGGGAGAGCAGGCAGGGUCAGCCCUUUCAAACACUGUAGAUUAGAAUGGGGUGGAGGAGGAUGGUGCUGCUUUAUGGAGAACCACCUUGCUGUUAUCAGAUGAAGGGAUGAAUAUGUCCAGCCUUGCCCAUCAAAGCAGAUGGAACGGAGAGGAAGUUCACCCUGGCUUCCUUUGCACUACCCCUGUGACCUAAAUAAGAAAAUUGAGGCAUGGAAACAAAGAAUGUUGUCCACAGCCACACCGAGAGGACAAAGUAGAGCUGGGAUUCCAACCCUGGUCUGUUCAGCUUCAAGACCCAAUCUCUCUAUGAGGAUGAAAAUAAUGAAACAAAUCAAAACAGAUGAAACAACCUUGGCCUACAGGCUAAAGAAUGCACUCACUCACUCAAGUCAUAGUGAAGAUGUGGAACACAUCAUUUUGCUGGUACAGAGGCAGAUUCACAGCUGAGAACGUCAGGGAUUCUGUCUCAGAGGUGCUCAUGUCCUUAUGAGGGAGGUGUAAGGACUACCUUGUUUUUCGUCUGCCCAUCUUCUUCAUUUCAUAUUGGGAUCUCCCCUUCCCAGUUCGCACGCCAGCUGGAAGGUUUGCCAGUCCAAAUCCCAGCACUCCUCUGGCCAAGGGGUGAAUGCUUGACUCAUAUUGGAAAAUCAGACUAUAGGAAAGUAAAUGAUGUCCCCCUAAUCUGAAAAUGGCUACAGUUGAUUAACCUGGCUAGCAGCACCCUGAAGAUAGCUGCCCAUUUGUUCCUGCCAUCUGGCCAUUUAGCUUUCCUUCUUUCUGGGAGCUUCCUUGUGGCAGCUACUGUAAGUUGGUUCACUCAGCACCCAUUCCAUUUCCCAUCAAGCUGUGAUUUCUCUACUCUAGAACGUGGAAGGCUCAAAGCUCACUUUCCCAGACGUCCUUGCAGCUAGGUGUGGCCAUGAUACUUGACCAGCGAGAUGCAAGUGUAAGUCUGCUGGGGCUGUCUAUCCCCUUUCUCCUUCCUAUUGGAAUGUGGACCUGAUGAUUGUAGCUGUGGCAGAUACCUUAUGAGCAUGAGGGAAAGCUUAAGAGAAUUGCAGGCACCAACCUGACACUGCUUAGUGACGUCAGGCAGGCACGGACUUCCCUUUGGGCUCCUUGCUGAAGAACUCCAUAGUGAUUUCUGUUACUUGUGGCCAAACUCACCUCUUCACUGAUACAUGAUCUGCACACUUUCUUUGCACUUUUAUAAACAGGGUGUGUGCUUGAGGUAGGCAGAGUUUCUGUUUGCAACUAAGAAACCUUAAUUGACAUAAGGGAAGGAAAAUAGUAUUAUGAUGAUACAAAGCAAACCACAACACCAUCCAGAAUAAAAUAUAUUCUGGCAGGAGGACGGUCACAAUACAAGUUCAUAUAGACGUAGUCUGUCACAUUUUUAAGUUUCCUCACAAUGUUUUCCUUUGACUGUCCCAGAUAUCCUAUAAAGUAAGAAUUAUUUUUAUCCCCAUCUUAAAGGUUAAAAAAAUCUCAGAGUUUAAGUACUGUGGAAAUUAUUAGG